rnacentral:rRNA from 1 species
AAUAUAGGACAAUGGGGGCAACCCUGAUCCAGCCAUCCCGCGUGUGUGAAGAAGGUCUUCGGAUUGUAAUGCACUUUACGUUGGGAGGAAGGGCUCUAGCUCAGUACCCUGACGUUGUGACGUUACAAACAGUAUAAGCACCGGCUAACUGUGUGCCAGCAGCCGCGGUAAUACAGAGGGUGGAAGCGUUCAUCGGAAUUACUGGGCAUAAAGCGCGCGUAGGUGGUUCAGUUAGAUGGGUGAGAAAUCCCCGGGCUUAACCUGGGAACUGCUUGCAUAACUGCUGAGCUAGAGUACGGUAGAGGGUAGUGGAAUUUCCUGUGUAGCGGUGAAAUGCGUAGAUAUAGGAAGGAACACCAGUGGCGAAGGCGACUACCUGGACUGAUACUGACACUGAGGUGCGAAAGCGUGGGGAGCAAAC